rnacentral:lncRNA from 1 species
CUGUUUCCCUGGCUAAUUUCUCAGUUCUUUUCUAGUAUUCUUUUUCUCUUCUUGUUUCUCUCUUUUGAUAUGUACCUCUACACUCUUGACAGGUUGUUAUUAGAAACAUUUUUGCGUAUUAACAUGAAUUACCUUACCUCUACCUCAUAAACCAACAUGUGAGUGACAGGUCCUUCAAUACACUUGGACACAUGAGAUUUAUCUU